AUUGAACGCUGGCGGCAGGCUUAACACAUGCAAGUCGAGCGGGGAAGGUUGCUUUGGUAACUGACCUAGCGGCGGACGGGUGAGUAAUGCUUAGGAAUCUGCCUAUUAGUGGGGGACAACAUUCCGAAAGGGAUGCUAAUACCGCAUACGCCCUACGGGGGAAAGCAGGGGAUCUUCGGACCUUGCGCUAAUAGAUGAGCCUAAGUCGGAUUAGCUAGUUGGUGGGGUAAAGGCCUACCAAGGCGACGAUCUGUAGCGGGUCUGAGAGGAUGAUCCGCCACACUGGGACUGAGACACGGCCCAGACUCCUACGGGAGGCAGCAGUGGGGAAUAUUGGACAAUGGGCGGAAGCCUGAUCCAGCCAUGCCGCGUGUGUGAAGAAGGCCUUUUGGUUGUAAAGCACUUUAAGCGAGGAGGAGGCUCCUUUAGUUAAUACCUAAAGAGAGUGGACGUUACUCGCAGAAUAAGCACCGGCUAACUCUGUGCCAGCCGCCGCGGUAA
rnacentral:rRNA from 1 species